AGCUCAUCGGCUAUACCAAUAUUGUUUGAAUGCAUGAGUUCCCGAAGUUUAACAUUGAACUCAACCCACACUGCGGUGUUCACAGAAGAAGAAUGGACCAAAACAGCGUUGAAAUCAUGCAAGACCGGGGCAACGAAUUGAUCGGCCCGUUCCACUUUCCCACCCACCCCCACCUGAAACUUGGAAGACAUGGGGCGACAGAACAAUACGAUCCUGGUUUUGGGAUCGUACAAUCACAGCAGGUCAACUACUCACUGAGGUAGCCGACCUGUUGUUGGCAGUGCUUUUGGCCAAUGCGGACACAACUGAUUUUGAUUUUGUUGGUAAAAUUGCGAAGGGUGGAUUGGAAAAGCUUGCUCACGAAUCGGCUCAUGGUGGAAGGAGGUCAAGGUGAUCAGGAUGAAGUGUAAAGAAUACAAACUGAAGAACUACACUUGUCAAUAAUACAUCCUCCAAGGCACUACAAUGUCAACCACCAACCUGCAACUGCCAAACAUCCAUCCUCUGUCAUUUCAAAUGAUUUCAUUUUUCUUUUUGGUCAGAAAAUGAAUUCAUUUUGGAUUUUGAAUUCUUGCAUAUAUUUGUUGAAUUCUUGAGCUGAAUUUUGUAAAUUUGGAUCUGUAUUGCCUGGAAACACUGAGAGAUCCGGCAUGAGAAUUUACUUGAUACAAUACAAGUUACAUUGCACUGAUUAGGCUUUUCUGCUUAGCGAAAGAGAGUCAUUGUCGAACACUUUGGUCCUUCAAACCACUGAUGGAGCUAUAUUUCUCUGCCCUGUUGAUGGAGAUAUUGGUUUUUUUUGGUCAAAAUGGAGAUAUUGGUUUCUUCAAUUGUGUUGAUGUUGGCAUACAUAUAAUAAUCUUUAGAACUUGGCAUUUGAUAAUAGAGUUGGGGGAGCUUUUGUUAUCCUUUAUUUGUUUUUCUUAUUAUAUUUAAGUCCCCCUCCUCUUCUUCUUCAUUUGGUAUUAAUAUGUUGAUUGUAUAGUUAAGCAGUGACAGUGAGUGAUGGGAUUAGAUCAUGACUCUGGUUAUUUUGUUGUGUUC